rnacentral:rRNA from 1 species
CCUACGGGAGGCAGCAGUCGGGAAUCUUGCGCAAUGGGCGAAAGCCUGACGCUGCAACGCCGCGUGAGCGACGAAGGCCUUCGGGUCGUAAAGCUCUGUUGUUGGGGACGAAGGGUUAGGGGUUAAUAGCCCCGAGCCUGACGGUACCCUUCGAGGAAGCCCCGGCUAACUACGUGCCAGCAGCCGCGGUAAUACGUAGGGGGCGAGCGUUGUCCGGAAUUAUUGGGCGUAAAGAGCGUGUAGGCGGCCCGGUAAGUCCGCCGUGAAAACUCGGGGCUCAACCCCGGGCUUGCGGUGGAUACUGUCGGGCUAGAGGGUGGUAGAGGGGAGUGGAAUUCCCGGUGUAGCGGUGAAAUGCGCAAAUAUCGGGAGGAACACCAGUAGCGAAGGCGGCUCCCUGGGCCAUUCCUGACGCUAAGACGCGAAAGCGUGGGGAGCAAACAGGAUUAGAUACCCUGGUAGUCCACGCCGUAAACGAUGAACACUAGGUGUUGGGGGGAGUCUAAUUCCUCUGUGCCGCACCUAACGCGAUCAGUGUUCCGCCUGGGG